UAACCUACCCAUCAGAGGGGGAUAACACUUGGAAACAGGUGCUAAUACCGCAUAACAGUUUAUGCCGCAUGGCAUAAGAGUGAAAGGCGCUUUCGGGUGUCGCUGAUGGAUGGACCCGCGGUGCAUUAGCUAGUUGGUGAGGUAACGGCUCACCAAGGCCACGAUGCAUAGCCGACCUGAGAGGGCGAUCGGCCACACUGGGACUGAGACACGGCCCAG
rnacentral:rRNA from 1 species